UCCGCCACCGACGUCGGUUCAGUAACGCCGUUGCCGCGAACGCGUACCACCGUCUUCUGGUGUCGGUCCUGCCGAUUCCUCACGCCGUUUCGCUGGCACACGUUUGGCGAUCUUCGUAAAUCCAUACGACAUCAUUGGUCGGCGAUUUUCUCUCCCCCAACCAUUGUACCCACCGCCGCCGUACUAUUAUUGUUUUCAUUUUAUUUUUUUUUUUUUAAAUCAUUAUUAUCGAUAUUACCAAUUAUUCACGCCCGACGCUGGUAGUGUCUGCGAUUCGAAAUCAGUUUCAGAAUUUGCUGAAUGUCAAAUAUAAUAUUCUUUUAAUUGGAAGAUUCUGCCAAUGCAUUAAAGUAAUAGUAUCAGGAAAACGACAACGGCGACGACAAUGUAACGGCGACCGUGUACGACUACUGCUGAGCUGACAACGAAGUUGGCGGCGGCUGCGGACACACUAACGCGCCGGACACGACGC